rnacentral:lncRNA from 1 species
CAGACCUAAUUUUACGUUUGUUUUUUUUUGUCCUUUUCCUUUUUUUCUUUUGUGUCUGUGCAGACUUCAAACGAUCUAAGAGUCAGUGUGUGUGAGAGAAAGAGGCAGAUUAGGAGCAGAGAAGUGGAGCGAGACAUUAUUAGCAGUGAGAGGGGAACAGAAGCGUUGCAGUUCUUACGGCAAGUUGAGAAAGAGGAAACAACCCCCAAAUCGCAUUGAGAAGUACUGAAAGUGUCAAAGAGAAGUUAAGAUUAUCAAGCAAGGCAAAAACACACACACAAAUAUGACGACUUAAUAAGGAAGAGGACGAGACAUGUGGACUACAGAGCAAACGCUGUGAGACACUGAGACAUGACAGGCGGCUGGUUUGUGUGUGUGUAGCUUGACCCGCACGCUGAAAUUAGGGAAGGGAGAAUAACAGCAAACAGAGAGCAAAAAAACAUUUGUCCUGAGAUCAUGGGGAGUGUUAGUGAAUUGUGUGUGUCCAGUUUUCAAGCCUUCUUGUGUCCAUCGUUACCAAGGAGUCUUUCAGCUGGAGGCGGCUCUAAACUCUGGGAACAGAUGAAGACAAGGGCUCAUUACUCUGACUGCUGGAAAAACACAGAGGGUUGUGGAAGAGGUGGAGAUUCUAGAUUUAAGAUGCAUGAUUCAAUACUUGUUGUUGCAUUUGUCAUAGCUGCUUUAGAUUUUGUCACACUGUGCUCACUAGAGAUGAGUAUCAACACUUAACAUAUGAUAGACUAAGUCUGUUAGAGGGAGAGAGAAUAAAUGUGUGCUACAGAUUUUGUAAAAUCAGAUAAAUAUACAUACUAUUGUCAAAAAAGAAGUACAAUUUAGUACACUUUUAAAAAGAGACUUGUUAUGGAAAUAAUAUACUUUAAAUAAACAUACUUAAGUGCAAACUAAAUCUAAUGUUUGCAAAAACACGAUUGCUAUAUAUAUAUUUAUAUAUGAAAAUAUAUUAUAUUAAAUGCAAUAUUAAACUAAUAUGAAUCUAUGUGAUUUUAACCACUUAAGUAGGAUUUAAGUACAUUAAAACAUUAGCAUUACAUGUAAUUUCUUAAUUA